UACGAAGGGGGCUAGCGUUGCUCGGAAUCACUGGGCGUAAAGGGCGCGUAGGCGGACUCUUAAGUCGGGGGUGAAAGCCCAGGGCUCAACCCUGGAAUUGCCUUCGAUACUGAGAGUCUUGAGUUCGGAAGAGGUUGGUGGAACUGCGAGUGUAGAGGUGAAAAUUCGUAGAUAUUCGCAAGAACACCAGUGGCGAAGGCGGCCCAACUGGUCCGAUACUGACGCUGAGGCGCGAAAGCGUGGGUAGCAAACAGG
rnacentral:rRNA from 1 species